rnacentral:rRNA from 1 species
UGGUUUCCUUGCCCCUUUAGAGUUUGGAUCAGGCUCAGAUUGAACGCUGGCGGCAGGCCUAACACAUGCAAGUCGAACGGUAGCACAGAGAGCUUGCUCUCGGGUGACGAGUGGCGGACGGGUGAGUAAUGUCUGGGAAACUGCCUGAUGGAGGGGGAUAACUACUGGAAACGGUAGCUAAUACCGCAUAAUGUCGCAAGACCAAAGAGGGGGACCUUCGGGCCUCUUGCCAUCGGAUGUGCCCAGAUGGGAUUAGCUAGUAGGUGGGGUAAUGGCUCACCUAGGCGACGAUCCCUAGCUGGUCUGAGAGGAUGACCAGCCACACUGGAACUGAGACACGGUCCAGACUCCUACGGGAGGCAGCAGUGGGGAAUAUUGCACAAUGGGCGCAAGCCUGAUGCAGCCAUGCCGCGUGUAUGAAGAAGGCCUUCGGGUUGUAAAGUACUUUCAGCGAGGAGGAAGGCAUUGCGGUUAAUAACCGCAGUGAUUGACGUUACUCGCAGAAGAAGCACCGGCUAACUCCGUGCCAGCAGCCGCGGUAAUACGGAGGGUGCAAGCGUUUAUCGGAAUUACUGGGCGUAAAGCGCACGCAGGCGGUCUGUUAAGUCAGAUGUGAAAUCCCCGGGUUCAACCUGGGAACUGCAUUUGAAACUGGCAGGCUUGAGUGUUGUAGAUGGGGGUAGAAUUCCAGGUGUAGCGGUGAAAAUGGGUAGAGAUCUGGAGGAAUACCGGUGGCGAAGGCGGCCCCCUGGACAAAGACUGACGCUCAGGUGCGAAAGACGCCCCUGGGGAGCAAACAGGAUUAGAUACCCUGGUAGUCCACGCCGUAAACGAUGUCGACUUGGAGGUUGUGCCCUUGAGGCGUGGCUUCCGGAGCUAACGCGUUAAGUCGACCGCCUGGGGAGUACGGCCGCAAGGUUAAAACUCAAAUGAAUUGACGGGGGCCCGCACAAGCGGUGGAGCAUGUGGUUUAAUUCGAUGCAACGCGAAGAACCUUACCUACUCUUGACAUCCAGAGAACUUGGCAGAGAUGCCUUGGUGCCUUCGGGAACUCUGAGACAGGUGCUGCAUGGCUGUCGUCAGCUCGUGUUGUGAAAUGUUGGGUUAAGUCCCGCAACGAGCGCAACCCUUAUCCUUUGUUGCCAGCGGUUAGGCCGGGAACUCAAAGGAGACUGCCAGUGAUAAACUGGAGGAAGGUGGGGAUGACGUCAAGUCAUCAUGGCCCUUACGAGUAGGGCUACACACGUGCUACAAUGGCGCAUACAAAGAGAAGCGACCUCGCGAGAGCAAGCGGACCUCAUAAAGUGCGUCGUAGUCCGGAUUGGAGUCUGCAACUCGACUCCAUGAAGUCGGAAUCGCUAGUAAUCGUAGAUCAGAAUGCUACGGUGAAUACGUUCCCGGGCCUUGUACACACCGCCCGUCACACCAUGGGGAGUGGGUUGCAAAAGAAGUAGGUAGCUUAACCUUCGGGAGGGCGCUUACCACUUUGUGAUUCAUGACUGGGGUGAAUCUAGAGGGAAAACCCCCAAAAAAAAAAACCAGGCA